UACGUAGGGGGCUAGCGUUAUCCGGAAUUACUGGGCGUAAAGGGUGCGUAGGUGGUUUCUUAAGUCAGAGGUGAAAGGCUACGGCUCAACCGUAGUAGUGCAUUGGAAACUGGGAGACUUGAGUGCAGGAGAGGAGAGUGGAAUUCCAUGUGUAGCGGUGAAAUGCGUAGAUAUAUGGAGGAACACCGGUGGCGAAAGCGGCUCUCUGGCCUGUAACUGACACAGAGGCUCGAAAGCGUGGGGAGCAAACAGG
rnacentral:rRNA from 1 species